AUUGAACGCUGACGGCAGGCUUAACACAUGCAAGUCGAGCGGGGUGAUGGUGCUUGCACUAUCACUUAGCGGCGGACGGGUGAGUAAUGCUUAGGAAUCUGCCUAUUAGUGGGGGACAACAUCUCGAAAGGGAUGCUAAUACCGCAUACGUCCUACGGGAGAAAGCAGGGGAUCACUUGUGACCUUGCGUUAAUAGAUGAGCCUAAGUCGGAUUAGCUAGUUGGUGGGGUAAAGGCCUACCAAGGCGACGAUCUGUAGCGGGUCUGAGAGGAUGAUCCGCCACACUGGGACUGAGACACGGCCCAGACUCCUACGGGAGGCAGCAGUGGGGAAUAUUGGACAAUGGGGGGAACCCUGAUCCAGCCAUGCCGCGUGUGUGAAGAAGGCCUUAUGGUUGUAAAGCACUUUAAGCGAGGAGGAGGCUCUUUUGGUUAAUACCCAAGAUGAGUGGACGUUACUCGCAGAAUAAGCACCGGCUAACUCUGUGCCAGCAGCCGCCGUAA
rnacentral:rRNA from 1 species